CCUGGUUUAAGGUGGAAUCACUCCAACAGCAUUAUGAACUUUACCCUGGUUUAAGGUGGAAUCACUCCAAGGCCAUUAUGAACUUUACCCUGGUUUAAGGUGGAAUCACUCCAAGGCCAUUAUGAACUUUACCCUGGUUUAAGGUGGAAUCACUCCAAGGCCAUUAUGAACUUUACCCUGGUUUAAGGUGGAAUCACUCCAACAGCAUUAUGAACUUUACCCUGGUUUAAGGUGGAAUCACUCCAAGGCCCUUAUGAACUUUACCCUGGUUUAAGGUGGAAUCACUCCAAGGCCAUUAUGAACUUUACCCUGGUUUAAGGUGGAAUCACUCCAACAGCAUUAUGAACUUUACCCUGGUUUAAGGUGGAAUCACUCCAAGGCCCUUAUGAACUUUACCCUGGUUUAAGGUGGAAUCACUCCAACAGCAUUAUGAACUUUACCCUGGUUUAAGGUGGAACCACUCCAACAGCAGUAUGAACUUUACCCUGGUUUAAGGUGGAAUCACUCCAAGGCCAUUAUGAACUUUACCCUGGUUUAAGGUGGAAUCACUCCAACAGCAUUAUGAACUUUACCCUGGUUUAAGGUGGAAUCACUCCAAGGCCCUUAUGAACUUUACCCUGGUUUAAGGUGGAAUCACUCCAAGGCCCUUAUGAACUUUACCCUGAUUUAAGGUGGAAUCACUCCAAGGCCCUUAUGAACUUUACCCUGAUUUAAGGUGGAAUCACUCCAACAGCAUUAUGAACUUUACCCUGGUUUAAGGUGGAAUCACUCUAAGGCCCUUAUGAACUUUACCCUGGUUUCAUGUGAAUCACUCCAACUAUACCACAAUGCAACAUGUUUUAGUGAGACAGCCAAUGCUAAUUCUCUUGGGCUGAGUUCCAAAUAGCUCCCUAUUCCCUAAAGAAUAUAUUUUGAUUUAACACUUGUUUGGUUCCAUAUGUGUUAUUUCAUAGUUUUGAUGUCUUCACUAUUAUUCUACAAUGUAGAAAAUAGUCCAAAUAAAGAAAACCCCUUGAAUGAGUAGGUGUGUCCAAACUUUUGACUGGUACUGUUGAUCUCUAACAAAGGGGUCGUGGAAAAGGUCUGUUGAAAUGAAUACUGUAGUGGUGUGUGAAAGGUAACACAAGCUUCCUCUCUGGUUCCAUUCCCCCAAUAGUAACUGGGUCAUUAUUGGAUGGUGAAUGUCAUGCUGUCCCUGGACUGUAGCACCACAUAAAAAAAUGACAAAUACAUUUAUUUAACUGUUAUUUAAUAAGAAACCUAUGUAAAUCCUUUAUACUGAUAAACAUAUAUUUGUACAGAUUGUAGACAAUACUGGUGCCUAGAUAAAUGGG
ensembl:lncRNA